AACGAACGCUGGCGGCAUGCCUAACACAUGCAAGUCGAACGAAGUCUUCGGACUUAGUGGCGCACGGGUGCGUAACGCGUGGGAAUCUGCCCUUGGGUGCGGAAUAACUUCUCGAAAGGGAUGCUAAUACCGCAUAAUGUCGUAAGACCAAAGAUUUAUCGCCCAAGGAUGAGCCCGCGUAAGAUUAGCUAGUUGGUGGGGUAAAAGCCUACCAAGGCGACGAUCUUUAGCUGGUCUGAGAGGAUGAUCCGCCACACUGGGACUGAGACACGGCCCAGACUCCUACGGGAGGCAGCAGUGGGGAAUUUUGGACAAUGGGGGCAACCCUGAUCCAGCCAUGCCGCGUGAGUGAAGAAGGCCUUCGGUUGUAAGACUCUUUCAGACGGAAAGAAAACGACCCCUCCUAAUACGGGGGUGGAGUGACGGUACUGUCAGAAGAAGCACCGGCGUAACUACGUGCCAGCAGCCGCGGUAAU
rnacentral:rRNA from 1 species